rnacentral:rRNA from 1 species
CCUACGGGAGGCAGCAGUAGGGAAUCUUCCACAAUGGGCGAAAGCCUGAUGGAGCAACGCCGCGUGGGUGAAGAAGGUCUUCGGAUCGUAAAACCCUGUUGUUAGAGAAGAAAGUGCGUGAGAGUAACUGUUCACGUUUCGACGGUAUCUAACCAGAAAGCCACGGCUAACUACGUGCCAGCAGCUGCGGUAAUACGUAGGUGGCAAGUGUUAUCCGGUUUUAUUGGGCGUAAAGGGAACGCAGGCGGUCUUUUAAGUCUGAUGUGAAAGCCUUCGGCUUAACCGGAGUAGUGCAUUGGAAACUGGGAGGCUUGAGGGCAGAAGAGGAGAGUGGAACUCCAGGUGUAGCGGUGAAAUGCGUAGAUAUAUGGAAGAACACCAGUGGCGAAGGCGGCUCUCUGGUCUGUAACUGACGCUGAGGUUCGAAAGCGUGGGUAGCAAACAGGAUUAGAUACCCUGGUAGUC